UCUGUAGUUAAAAAGUAUAGAAGUAUUGUUUUGUUUCUAAACAUAAUCAAUCAUUUGGGUUCAGAAGAACUUUAUUUGUCGACUGGAGUCGUGUGGAUUAUUUUGAUGCACCCUAAAUAUGCAUUUUGGACCGUCAAAAAUGGAGCACGUUCACUUGCAUUGUUUAGAGGAGGAGGCCUGAAAUGAAAUCUUAAAAAUCUUAAAUUCUGUUUUGAUGAAGAAAGAAACUCAGAUAUGUCUUGGAUGGCCUAAGGAGAGACGUCCAGUGCUUUACCCCUGUUUCAUUUGCUUCAUGCUUCAGGAGGUUUUCUGUUUUACUGUGAGCCCCAGUUGAAGACAGAGAACUUACAGAUGUUGACCUCAACAAGUGUCAACCUGGACAGACAUCUAUUCCAGUCCUACCUGCACCACAUAAUACUCUUUUCUGCUUUUAUAUGGACGACUGUCUACUUGCAAAUUCUCUUCAAAAUUAGAUGUAUGCAAAUAUAACUUUAACUAAUUGUUGCAAUAGCAAAGAACUUGAUCCAGUUGCAGAGAAUCCCUUAAGUUAAAGGUGCAUUCAGUAAUUUGGGGCUAAUUUAAAAAGUUUUACACAUUAACAAAUGAAUUGUGUUUUUGUGAAGAGUGAUCUGAAUGGUGUACACUCACAUGAGAUGAAGACUGUACUCAUAAUAU